rnacentral:rRNA from 1 species
UACAGAGGUCCCGAGCGUUGUUCGGAUUCACUGGGCGUAAAGGGUGCGUAGGUGGCAUGUUAAGUUUGAUGUGAAAGCUCAGGGCUUAACCCUGAAAUGGCAUUGAAUACUAGCGUGCUGGAGGUUUGGAGGGGGGACUGGAAUUCUCGGUGUAGCAGUGAAAUGCGUAGAUAUCGAGAGGAACACCAGUGGCGAAGGCGAGUCCCUGGACAACACCUGACAUUGAGGCACGAAAGCCGGGGGAGCAAACAGG